rnacentral:rRNA from 1 species
UACGUAGGGCGCAAGCGUUGUCCGGAAUUAUUGGGUGUAAAGAGCUCGUAGGCGGCUUGUCACGUCGGAUGUGAAAGCCCGAGGCUUAACCUCGGGUCUGCAUUCGAUACGGGCUAGCUAGAGUGUGGUAGGGGAGAUCGGAAUUCCUGGUGUAGCGGUGAAAUGCGCAGAUAUCAGGAGGAACACCGGUGGCGAAGGCGGAUCUCUGGGCCAUUACUGACGCUGAGGAGCGAAAGCGUGGGGAGCGAACAGG